rnacentral:lncRNA from 1 species
AGAAUUCUUGACAGAGGAAUCUCUAAUGGCAAGAAGCACUUAAAGAAAUAUUCACUGGGUGUGGUGGCGCACGCCUUUAAUCCCAGCACUUGGGAGGCAGAGGCAGGUGGAUUUCUGAGUUCGAAGCCAAGAAAGAAAGAAAGAAAGAAAUUUUCAACACCCUUAGUCACCUGGGCAAAUCAAAACUGUCAUCAGAGAGGCUUCACCCAGCAUCUGAUGAAAACUGAUACAGAGACCACAGCCAAUCAUUAAGUGGAGAUCGGGGAAUCCUAUGGAAGGUGGGGAGGAAGAUUUAAAGGAGCUUGAGGGGUCAACGACACCACAAGAAAACCACAGGAAUCAACUAACCUGGACACAUAGGGGUUCAUAGAGACUGAAGUGGCAACCUGGGAGCAUGCGGGAGACUGACCUAAGCCCUCUGCACGUAGGUUAUAGUUGUGUAGCUUAGACUUCAUGUGAGACUCCUAAAGUGGGAGCAGGGGCUGUCUCUGAUUGUGUUGCCUGCCUUUGAAUCCCUUUCCCUUGACUGAGCUGAUGCGCUAGUCUACCGCAAUCUCAUAUGCCAAGGCAGAUUGACAUCCAUGGGAGGCCAUCCCUUUCCUGGGGAGAGGUGCAAGUCAGAGGGAGGUGAGGUGAGAGGGAGAGACUGGGAGGAGAGGAGGGAGGGAUGUAAAAUAAAUAACUCAAUCAAUUAAAAAAAAAUGUAGGCAAAAAACAUGUAGGCAAACUAAAAAUUACUAUUAUUUAUAAAUGGAACCAUAAAAAUGCAUAAAGGUAUAUAUGAACUACCAUAGAGGCAAGCAAAUUAUAGGAUUACAGAUACUAAAGGAAAAAAAUUAAUAACCAUAUUAAUGUUUAUUUUACUUUAUUAUAAAUGAUUCAUAAAGUACAUUAAAAUAUAUAAUUUAAACAGUUCAAAAAUAUUCUUAUCUCAAAAUUAUUUACUUUAUAUUCAAAAUGUUAAGAGAAUAAACCAUUUUAACAAUCAUAAAACUAUAAGGGUUGGACAGAUAACCCAGAUUAAGAACAUUUUUACUCUUGCAAAAGACCUGUGUGAGGCUCCCAGGAUCCACAAAGCAGUUCAUAACCACUUGUAAAUCCAGUUCUAGGGAGUCCAAUGUCUCAUUCUGGCUUCUAAGGACACGUGGCAUGUAUGUGGUAAUAUAGUAUACAUGUAGGCACUCACACAUACACAUACAAUAAAAUAAAUGUUAAAAAAAUUGACUUGUGAGUCCCUCAAGGGUGGACAGAUAGUCGUAUCACAGUGCAGAGCAUGGGACAGACUUAUUCUAAGGGUAGCAGCCUCCCUGGCCUUGUAGCUAUAGAGCAUCCUCGGGAGGUCUCAACCCUGCCUGAUGACUCCCAGAUCUCUCUCCUGAUGAGAUACUUACAUCCAAUGUCUCCAAAAUACAUUCAAUGUUCCCAAGGCACUGAGUAUGCCGAACAAGAAACUCAUGCCUCUCAUCUAUGUUCCCCCAGUCAUCCUGUUCUCAUCAGAAACGUGGGUAUCUUUUUCACUUCUGCCUUUCUCUUCACCUCAUUAAACCAGAUCCUGACUCCUAGCAAUCAGCUUUGUAAUAGUAACCUGCCUUGUGUUCCUUGUGUUCUUUAUAUACCGUAAUACCGGGGCCCAGCUCUUAACCUUUCUUUUCCAGAUUACUGCAGCUGUCCUGUACUUAGUGUCCUGCUGGUCACUGUGGCUAGUGCAGUCACUGUCUAACUAAAAACUGCUUUCUAGCUCCUCCACACUUAGUCCAGAUUCUCCAGAAAGGCUCCCAUAGCUUUUCUCACUGCCUACUGAUAAACCACGCCUUCAUUUGUACUGAAAGGAGUUAGAAGUCCACUAUCUGUGCUCAGUAAGCAGCAGGGGACUUGUUCUGCCAAGCAGGCGUGCCAGCGUUCCUCUCUCUUUUCUUACCUUUCUUGUUCCUUUCUUUCUCUCCUUCCCAUCUUCCUUUCCCCCCUUUUCUUACCCAUGCCAUGGAUGCUGGGGCUUGAACCAAUCCUAACUUGAGAGCAUGGGCACUCUCAGUGCUGUUCUCUAACUGGUGAUUUGCCCAUCUUGAACCCUGGCACUCAGUGGAGGCUGCAGGCCUUAGGGACCUAAUUCGCCCCACAAGUUUGCAGUGGAAAUUUUAGAAUUCUGCAGUUUUAAGUCAGGAUUUACUACGAGCUCAGAUUCCCCACAUAUAAAUUAUACAGUGACAACAGGUACAGGAGGAGGAAAGCUAUGGAUUUUUAAAAAAUUCCAAUUAAUUGAAGUUAACUAGAUACCAAUUCUAACAAACUGAAGAAAAUAUGAGAUUGUGUGAAAACAAAACAUGGUAUUUGGCAAUAUCAAAGAAUUACUAAUUUUACAGAAUAAUAAUGGCUUCCCUAGGUUGUCCAGUGUUGCCUCGGGCCUGCAGUGUCCCGCCAAGUGUGCCAAGACUCCAUGACGAGCUGGAAUUGCUGGCCCACACUACACGGCUAUACCUGCCCAUAGGACAGCUUCGCUUUUUUCAAUUUUUUAUUAGAUAUUUUCUUUAUUAACAUUUCAAAUGCUAUCCCCUUUCCUAGUUUCCCCUCCGAAAAUCCCCUAUCCUCUUCCCCCACUUCCCCCGUUCCCCUACCCACUCGCUCCCGCUCCCUGGCCCUGGCAUUCCCCUAUACUGGGGCAUAGAACCUUCACAGGACCAAGGGCCUCUCCCCGCAUUGAUGACCGACUAGGCCAUCCUCUGCUACAUAUGCAGCUGGAGCCAUGAGUCCCACCAUGUGUUUUCUUUGAUUGGUGGUUUAGUCCCGGGGAGCUUUGGGGGUACUGGUUAGUUUAUAUUGCUGGAGAGGAAAGAACACUGGAAUGUGCUGAUCACUGCCACACUGGGUGUCUUAGUCAGGGUUUCUAUUCCUGCACAAACAUCACGACCAAGAAGCAAGUUGGGGAGGAAAGGGUUUAUUCGGCUUACACUUCCACACUGCUGUUCAUCACCAAGGAAGUCAGGACUGAAGCUCAAGCAGGUCAGGAAGCAGGAGCUGAUGCAGAGGCCAUGGAGGGAUGUUUCUUACUGGCUUGCUUCCCCUGGCUUGCUCAGCCUGCUCUCUUAUAGAACCAAGACUACCAGCCCAGAGAUGGCACCACCCACAAGGGGCCCUCCCCACUUGAUCAUUAAUUGAGAAAAUGCCUUACAGUUGUAUCUCAUGGAGGCAUUUCCUCAACUGAAGCUCCUUUCUCUGUGAUAACUCCAGCUGUGUCAAGUUGACACACAAACCAGCCAGUGCACUGGGUAAAAGAAAACCUUAAUGCUUUAAUCACAGCACCAGAGAGGUAGAAGUGGAUCUCUGUAAGUCUGAGGCCAGUCUGGUCUACACAGCAAGUUCCAGGACUUGCUGGAAUGGAUAGAGACCAUGUAUCAAAACAAAAUAAAACAAAUAUAAAGAAACAAAGAAAACAAAAUCCCAAAGAAAAAAAAGAAAGAAAACUUUAAUGCAUCACAGCUAGGAUCUGUUUAUACCAAGGACAUAAGUCAUUCUCUACAUUAACAGAUAAAAUCACAGCAUCUUUGCC